rnacentral:misc_RNA from 1 species
AAGUCGUAACAAGGUCUCCGUAGGUGAACCUGCGGAGGGAUCAUUAACAUCAAUCUAGUUGUGUAGAUACAAGAGUAGGUACGUAUGUGGUGGUUUUCCACUGCUGCUGCCUCUCUUUAUCUCCCUACCACCGUGAACCUAUCUAUACAACCUGUUGUGUUUUUGGAGAGCUUGUCUCACAACGUUCUCCAGAACACAGCACUAUUACAACCAUAUUUUUAUACCACCCCUCAUAUACAUUAUAUAAUAUCUUAUAUGACAUCUCAUCACAGGGUUGUUCAUAUUGAACUUAAUUGAUACCACUCCUAGCAAUGGAUAUCUUGGUUCUC